ensembl:lncRNA
AUGGUCAACACUGAAAUCAGAUUGAUUAUAUUCUUUGCAGCCAAAGAUGGAGAAGCUCUAUACAGUCAGCAAAAAAAAAAAAAAACAAGACCAGGAGCUGACUGUGGCUCAGAUCAUGAACUCCUUAUUGCCAAAUUCAGACUUAAAUUGAAGAAAGUGGGGAAAACAACUAAACCAUUCAGGUAUGACCUAAAUCAAAUCCCUUAUGACUAUACAGUGGAAGUGAGAAAUAGAUUUAAGGGACUAGAUCUGAUAGACAGAGUGCCUGAUGAACUAUGGACAGAGGUUCGUGACAUUGUACAGGAGACAGGGAGCAAGACCAUCCCCAAGAAAAAGAAAUGCAAAAAAGCAAAAUGGCUGUCUGGGGAGGCCUUACAAAUAGCUGUGAAAAGAAAAGAAGCCAAAAGCAAAGGAGAAAAGGAAAGAUAUACCCAUUUGAAUGCAGAGUUCCAAAGAAUAGCAAGGAGAGAUAAGAAAGCCUUCCUCAGCAAUCAAUGCAAAGAAAUAGAGGAAAACAACAGAAUGGGAAAGAGUAGAGAUCUCUUCAAGAAAAUUAGAGAUACCAAGGGAACAUUUCAUGCAAAGAUGGGCUUGAUAAAGGACAGAAAUGGUAGGGACCUAACAGAAGCAAAAGAUAUUAAGAAGAGGUGGCAAGAAUACACAGAAGAAUUGUAUAAAAAAGAUCUUCACGACCCAGGUAAUCAUGAUGGUGUGAUCACUGACCUAGAGCCAGACAUCCUGGAAUGUGAAGUCAAGUGGGCCUUAGAAAGCAUCACUAUGAACAAAGCUAGUGGAGGUGAUGGAAUUCCAGUUGAGCUAUUCCAAAUCCUGAAAGAUGAUGCUGUGAAAGUGCUGCACUCAAUAUGCCAGCAAAUUUGGAAAACUCAGCAGUGGCCACAGGACUGGAAAAGGUCAGUUUUCAUUUCAAUCCCAAAGAAAGGCAAUGCCAAAGAAUGCUCAAACUACCACACAAUUGCACUCAUCUCACACGCUAGUAAAGUGAUGCUCAAAAUUCUCCAAGCCAGGCUUCAGCAAUAUGUGAACCGUGAACUUCCUGAUGUUCAAGCUGGUUUUAUAAAAGGCAGAGGAACCAGAGAUCAAAUUUCCAACAUCUGCUGGAUCAUCGAAAAAGGAAGAGAGUUCCAGAAAAGCAUAUAUUUCUGCUUUAUUGACUAUGCCAAAGCCUUUGACUGUGUGGAUCACAAUAAACUGUGGAAAAUUCUGAAAGAGAUGGGAAUACCAGACCACCUGACCUGCCUCUCAGAGAAGGCAAUGGCAUCCCACUCCAGUACUCUUGCCUGGGAAAUCCCAUGGACGGAAGAGCCUGGUAGGCUACAGUCCAUGGGGUCGCAGAGUCGGACACAACUGGAGCAACUUAGCAGCAGCAGCAGCAGACCUGCCUCUUGA